rnacentral:rRNA from 1 species
AAUGGGUCAGCGACUUAUAUUCUGUAGCAAGGUUAACCGAAUAGGGGAGCCGAAGGGAAACCGAGUCUUAACUGGGCGUUAAGUUGCAGGGUAUAGACCCGAAACCCGGUGAUCUAGCCAUGGGCAGGUUGAAGGUUGGGUAACACUAACUGGAGGACCGAACCGACUAAUGUUGAAAAAUUAGCGGAUGACUUGUGGCUGGGGGUGAAAGGCCAAUCAAACCGGGAGAUAGCUGGUUCUCCCCGAAAGCUAUUUAGGUAGCGCCUCGUGAAUUCAUCUCCGGGGGUAGAGCACUGUUUCGGCAAGGGGGUCAUCCCGACUUACCAACCCGAUGCAAACUGCGAAUACCGGAGAAUGUUAUCACGGGAGACACACGGCGGGUGCUAACGUCCGUCGUGAAGAGGGAAACAACCCAGACCGCCAGCUAAGGUCCCAAAGUCAUGGUUAAGUGGGAAACGAUGUGGGAAGGCCCAGACAGCCAGGAUGUUGGCUUAGAAGCAGCCAUCAUUUAAAGAAAGCGUAAUAGCUCACUGGUCGAGUCGGCCUGCGCGGAAGAUGUAACGGGGCUAAACCAUGCACCGAAGCUGCGGCAGCGACACUAUGUGUUGUUGGGUAGGGGAGCGUUCUGUAAGCCUGCGAAGGUGUACUGUGAGGUAUGCUGGAGGUAUCAGAAGUGCGAAUGCUGACAUAAGUAACGAUAAAGCGGGUGAAAAGCCCGCUCGCCGGAAGACCAAGGGUUCCUGUCCAACGUUAAUCGGGGCAGGGUGAGUCGACCCCUAAGGCGAGGCCGAAAGGCGUAGUCGAUGGGAAACAGGUUAAUAUUCCUGUACUUGGUGUUACUGCGAAGGGGGGACGGAGAAGGCUAUGUUGGCCGGGCGACGGUUGUCCCGGUUUAAGCGUGUAGGCUGGUUUUCCAGGCAAAUCCGGAAAAUCAAGGCUGAGGCGUGAUGACGAGGCACUACGGUGCUGAAGCAACAAAUGCCCUGCUUCCAGGAAAAGCCUCUAAGCAUCAGGUAACAUCAAAUCGUACCCCAAACCGACACAGGUGGUCAGGUAGAGAAUACCAAGGCGCUUGAGAGAACUCGGGUGAAGGAACUAGGCAAAAUGGUGCCGUAACUUCGGGAGAAGGCACGCUGAUAUGUAGGUGAAGCGACUUGCUCGUGGAGCUGAAAUCAGUCGAAGAUACCAGCUGGCUGCAACUGUUUAUUAAAAACACAGCACUGUGCAAACACGAAAGUGGACGUAUACGGUGUGACGCCUGCCCGGUGCCGGAAGGUUAAUUGAUGGGGUUAGCGGUAACGCGAAGCUCUUGAUCGAAGCCCCGGUAAACGGCGGCCGUAACUAUAACGGUCCUAAGGUAGCGAAAUUCCUUGUCGGGUAAGUUCCGACCUGCACGAAUGGCGUAAUGAUGGCCAGGCUGUCUCCACCCGAGACUCAGUGAAAUUGAACUCGCUGUGAAGAUGCAGUGUACCCGCGGCAAGACGGAAAGACCCCGUGAACCUUUACUAUAGCUUGACACUGAACAUUGAGCCUUGAUGUGUAGGAUAGGUGGGAGGCUUUGAAGUGUGGACGCCAGUCUGCAUGGAGCCGACCUUGAAAUACCACCCUUUAAUGUUUGAUGUUCUAACGUUGGCCCCUGAUCGGGGUUGCGGACAGUGUCUGGUGGGUAGUUUGACUGGGGCGGUCUCCUCCUAAAGAGUAACGGAGGAGCACGAAGGUUGGCUAAUCCUGGUCGGACAUCAGGAGGUUAGUGCAAUGGCAUAAGCCAGCUUGACUGCGAGCGUGACGGCGCGAGCAGGUGCGAAAGCAGGUCAUAGUGAUCCGGUGGUUCUGAAUGGAAGGGCCAUCGCUCAACGGAUAAAAGGUACUCCGGGGAUAACAGGCUGAUACCGCCCAAGAGUUCAUAUCGACGGCGGUGUUUGGCACCUCGAUGUCGGCUCAUCACAUCCUGGGGCUGAAGUAGGUCCCAAGGGUAUGGCUGUUCGCCAUUUAAAGUGGUACGCGAGCUGGGUUUAGAACGUCGUGAGACAGUUCGGUCCCUAUCUGCCGUGGGCGCUGGAGAACUGAGGGGGGCUGCUCCUAGUACGAGAGGACCGGAGUGGACGCAUCACUGGUGUUCGGGUUGUCAUGCCAAUGGCACUGCCCGGUAGCUAAAUGCGGAAGAGAUAAGUGCUGAAAGCAUCUAAGCACGAAACUUGCC